rnacentral:rRNA from 1 species
UAUCCCCCCCUGUGUGCCCUUGCCCUCCCCCACCGACCUGCAAAACGCGAAGAACCUUACCCGGGCUUGAAAUGCAUCUGACAGGGGCAGAGACGCCCUCUUCCUUCGGGACAGAUGUGUAGGUGCUGCAUGGUUGUCGUCAGCUCGUGCCGUGAGGUGUCGGCUUAAGUGCCAUAACGAGCGCAACCCUCAUCAUUAGUUACCAUCAGGUUAAGCUGGGGACUCUAAUGAGACUGCCAUCGUAAGAUGAGAGGAAGGUGGGGAUGACGUCAAAUCAGCACGGCCCUUACGUCCGGGGCGACACACGUGUUACAAUGGGUGGUACAAAGGGCAGCUACAUGGCGACAUGAUGCUAAUCUCCAAAACCAUUCUCAGUUCGGAUUGCACUCUGCAACUCGGGUGCAUGAAGUUGGAAUCGCUAGUAAUCGCAGAUCAGCAUGCUGCGGUGAAUACGUUCCCGGGUCUUGUACACACCG